CGUACACAACUUUCCUUUAAGUGGGGGAUAGCCCAGAGAAAUUUGGAUUAAUACCCCGUAAUAUUAUGAUGUGGCAUCACUUUAUAAUUAUAGAUUCAUCGCUUAAAGAUGGGCGUGCGCCUGAUUAGGUAGUUGGCGGAGUAAUAGCCCACCAAGCCUGCGAUCAGUAACUGGUGUGAGAGCACGACCAGUCACACGGGCACUGAGACACGGGCCCG
rnacentral:rRNA from 1 species